rnacentral:lncRNA from 1 species
AUUACUAUCUAACCUUCAACCUACUAACUAUUAAGAUAAGAAAAUAAUCUAAGAGGCUUUUAUAAAAGUAAUAUUUAGAUACCUCAAAUUAUAAUUGAAUUGAGAUAAUUAGAUAUUAAUUAGAAAUUCAAUUUUGAUUAUAGUUUUACUAUAUAGUUGUAUUAUAUCAUAAUAGAGGUCAAUUCUUUUUUUUCUUUGGUUUAACUCAUAUUUUUUCAAGAUUUUAUUUAUGAACUCUAAUAAUUUGAAGUUUAUAGCUUGAAUUAAACUCAAUAAACUAAAAUUUUCUAGAUUGGAUUAGUAAUAAGUGAGCUAUAGAUAUUUUAAUAAGAUGAAGUUUAGAUUUAAGAUUUGAGUUAGAGGUUGGAUACAUCUUGGCACAAGAAAGAAAUUAAUCUAAAUUUAAUACUUAGCUUUUGGCUAUUGUGAUUGUCAUUUUACUUAUUCUACAAUUCCUUUCAGAAUAAACUUGUAUAGGCAAAUUCUAACAUAGGGAAAGACUAAGUACAUGAGUUUUACUUGUUAGGGUUAUACAAUUAACUGUAUUCCAAACUACUAAAAUACCAAAAAAUACUACAAUGCUUUUUCCUAGUAACAAUACUCCAUCAAUUGAUAACAACACUGUGCAACUCUGCACUCUCAAAAUAUUGCUCAAAAUACAAUAAUUUCCAUCCAACACUAGGAAUAACAAACUUCACUCCAACUAUCUAAAUUUACAUAAUUUCUAUAAUCACAAACUUCUUUUGUCUAAAAC